UACGGAGGGGGCGAGCGUUGAUCGGAAUUACUGGGCGUAAAGGGCGCGUAGGCGGUGGGUUACGUCUGCCGUGAAAUCCCCGGGCUCAACCUGGGAAUGGCGGUGGAAACCGGCUGACUGGAGUAUGGGAGAGGGUGAUGGAAUUCCAGGUGUAGCGGUGAAAUGCGUAGAGAUCUGGAGGAACGCCAGUGGCGAAGGCGGUCACCUGGCCCAAUACUGACGCUGAGGCGCGAAAGCGUGGGGAGCAAACAGG
rnacentral:rRNA from 1 species